UGUCCCUCAGACCGUUGGAGGGCCGGACUAUAGUUAAAAACAAACAAACAAACAAAAAACUAUGAACAAAUUCCUGUGCACACUGCACAUAUCUUAUUUUGAAGUAAAAAACAAAACGGGAACAAAUACAAUUCACACCACUUCAUGUGGCCCGCAGGCCGCAGUUUGAGGACACCUGAACUAAACCAUGCCCAUUCCCUUGCAGGGGUCGGGGGCUGCUGCAGCGGGCUUUAGCAAGAAGGUACGGGAGCCCCGUGGACAACACAACCCUAAAGAAAGCUCCAUGUGAGAAGGGCAGGGCAGGACUUGGAGCUGGCCACCCUGUAGCUCCUCCAGACUACUUCUGGGAAGAACUGGUCUCACACAUGACCCUGAGAAUCUUCUGCUGAGCAUCUUCUAAAUUCAGGUUUCCCUGGGGCAGAAAGGAACCAUGGGGUAAUGCCCCUGGCUUUAAUAUUUCAUCUCCAGUCUUGUAAAUGAGUUUCCUGGGGCCAUCUGCUUCUGAGAAUUUGCUUCUCUGGCUCAGGGGCCCACAUGCCAUUGCACAAACUCAGGCCAGCACUGCCAGCUCACAAAUACCAUAUAAUAAUAGUUCUCAAACUUGAGGGUGCAUCAGAGUUACCUGGUUAAAUUUCAGAUUUCUGGGCCCCACCUCAGAGGUUCAGUAGGUCUGGACUGGGGCCAAGGAUUUGUAUCUCUAACAAGUUCCCAGGUGGUGUUGAUGCUGCUUCUCUGGGACCACCCCUUUUGAAAACUAUCCCCACAGAUAUUUUCGAGGCAAUAUGAUUGCAUAAUGGUUUAUGUUUUUGUGUUGCAGGAUCAAGCUGCCACCUUGGGACGACCAUUUUUCCUUUUCAGGGUAUAACAUGUUUCCUCAUCUCUGUUUUCUGACUGAUUCACUGCAACCAUCCCAAUUAUGAAGUCACUGCAGAAUGGGCAGAAUUGUUCACUGCCCGGUGAACAAUUGUGGGGACUCUCACCCUUCACUGGCAUGUCUCAAAGUCAAAAUCUCUUCCUCCAAGCUUGUAAAGGAAAGGUCCAACAUGACAGAGGCUGAGUGCAGCAGAGUUGGGGGGAAAGGAGUCUUACUGAUGGACAGACAUGGAGGCAGACCAGGGUCUGAGUUUGUGUUUCAGAACAGCAGUCCCCAACCUUUUGGACCAGUUUCAAGGAAGAUAAUUUUUCUGCAGACCAGGGUUGGGGGAUGGUUUGGGGGUUAUUUAAGUGCAUUGCAUCUCCACCUGGGAUCAUCAGGCAUUAGAUUCUCAUAAGGAGCGUGCAACCUAGAUCCGUCCCAUCCACAGUUUAUAGUAGCAUUCAUGUGCCUAUGAGAAGUUAAGGCUGCCACUGAUGCACUGAUCUGACAGGAGGCGGAACUCAGGUAGAGGUGUGAGUGAUGGGGAGUGGCUGUAAAUACAGAUAAAGCUUCACUCUUCUGCUGCUCACCUUUUGCUGUGUAACCUGGUUCCUAACGGGCCAUGGACCUGUGCCAGUCCAUGGCCAGGGGGCUGGAGACUGCAGUUUUAGAGCAGUAACAUAUAGGCCACAUGGCUCCCAAACACACUGGCAGGAGCAGUCUAGGCACCACCCUCCCACCUUCCUAGGUAACACAGAGAUCGCAAGGGUCACAGAGCCAGAAGUCGUCUUUUAGUGUUUGCUCUGCCAUUCCCUAGCUGUGCUCAACCCCUGAGAGCCUCAGUGUUUGUGUAGAAAACUGAGUAAAUCAGACUGGAUCUGUGCCCCCAAAUUGCAUUCUGUAAAUCACUGGUGCUAACAGGUACUCCAUAAAAUCAGAUAAGAUUGGAAAUCCCUGCACCCAUCACAGGCUCUAGAAGUCCUGUGGAAACAACCUUGUUCCACUCACCUUAAUCAUUUGUUUCCUAAACUUAUUUGACAAUGGAGACUCUUCAUAUACCUUCCCCACUUCUAUCACAUUACCCCUGUUUAGUCUGCAUGACCUGUUACUCUCUGGAAAGUACUUUGAGAAGCAGUAGGUCCUUAUGGUGUCUCCAGGCUGAACAUCCUGACAGGUGGUCUGUGGGUCUUCUCAUCACACCAGCACAGGCUAAGGGGUAGAGGGCAUGGGGCGGGGGGUAGAUGAUGUUGGAUCCCAGGAGUAGCAGGAGUCCUAGAGCACUUCCCCAGAGCACCUAUGGACUAGCACUAGCAUAGGGCAAGGCUCACCAAGUGGGUCCCAAGGAGGAGGAGCGAAAUCCUGGUUAAAGAAAGAGGCCUUAGCACUCAAUACAUACAGGAACUGGACUAAGAUACAGGCCCCAGACAGUUGCGUCUCAGUAUCUGUAAGCCACUGCUUUUUUUUUUUUCAGCCAAGGAAUGGAAGAAACAUUGAGGACACAGCUCAGUAGAUAGUCCAAGCAUCACAGAGACCCCCACUCCUGUAUGGCAGAAGCAGGAUGUCCUGGGCAACACUGCAGCCUUCACUUCUGUGACUUCUCUCCUGGCCCCUCUGACAAGGAAAACCCAGCACUAAUUCAAUAGCACAGGAAAGCCAGAUCUGAUGAGGCCAUUCAGUGAUUGUUUUGAACAAAAAUGUCAAAUUUCCUUCUGCAAACAAUAAAGAUCUUGCUCUGUGUUCACUAGAAUAUUUAGUUGUAUAAAAAUAAAGUAGCACCGUGUGAUACUGUGAAAUAUACAGAAGUAUUUGGGCCUCCUCUGAUUUCCGGGCAUAUCUUCAAAGUGAUAAGCAUCUUUUGUAUGCUAAUGAGUUGACUGGUGACUGGCAGCACC